GUAGGGUGCAAGCGUUAAUCGGAAUUACUGGGCGUAAAGCGUGCGCAGGCGGUUGUGCAAGACAGAUGUGAAAUCCCCGGGCUCAACCUGGGAAUUGCAUUUGUGACUGCACGGCUAGAGUGUGUCAGAGGGGGGUAGAAUUCCACGUGUAGCAGUGAAAUGCGUAGAGAUGUGGAGGAAUACCGAUGGCGAAGGCAGCCCCCUGGGAUAACACUGACGCUCAUGCACGAAAGCGUGGGGAGCAAACAGGAUUAGAUACCCUGGUAGUCCCACGCCCCUAAACGAUGUCAACUAGUUGUCGGGUCUUAAUUGACUUGGUAACGCAGCUAACGCGUGAAGUUGACCGCCUGGGGAGUACGGUCGCAAGAUUA
rnacentral:rRNA from 1 species